UCACGAGAGGGACCCAAUGGCUGCCCUUACUCUGCCUGAAUGAAAAUAAGACAUGGUUUUACCACAGAUAGACGAGACAGAUAUUUCACCGGAGGUAUAAAUGUGACAGGAAGCCCAGUGGCUGGCAGUGGGAGAAGAUUGAGCUAGAUGGAUUUUGGCCGAUAUUCUGCACAUUUUCUCAUAAAUGAAACAGUUGAUCUCCAUACAGGUUUCUGUUUCCAAAACUAGAAUCUAUAACAAACAGUUAUAGAAAAGUUUGGUAGACUUGACUUACCUAAUUGUUUAUGGAGAUACAUUUUUUAUGACGAGUGCAUUUUCCUAAUGAACGUCAUGCAUAUUCAGUAAGGCACAAAUAGUCUAAAUCCACUACUUGGCGGUAGCUAGCUAGCUGUCCCAAGUAGAUAUCUAGCUGGCUAGCUAAUUCACAAAAAAAAAAAUAAUACUUGACUUAAAUAGCUAGAAAUCGAUUUCUUUGAAAGUUUUCCCACUACUAGUACUCCUUUUGUGAAUCAACUAUUUUUCAUGAUAAGAACACGUCAUCAAUAAAUACCUUGUUAACUGUAAAAUGGAAGGGGGAAAAUCCCUUUUCCACGUUUCCAACAGACGUUGAAAGGAGGACGAUGUGGCUGAGAAACAUCAGGCGUAGGGACAUCAGUCUGAAGAAGUUCUUUGAGGACCUGAAGAAAGGGGGUUACAGUAUGUGCGAGGAACACUUUGAAGAGUAUUUUAUUCUGAUUAUUGACUAUCUUUGUGAAUAAAAAUACUUUUCUGGAA